AAACAUGGCCUCCAAAAGCAGAGGAAAACAACGUGGGGAAGAUAUACAACAAGAGGAUGUCUUCCAGGCUGUUGUAAUUGCGGAUAGUUUUAAUGUUCGAUUUGCUCCAAUUACAAAUGAAAAGCCUAAGUCCCUUCUGCCAUUGGCCAACAUUCCAAUUUUGGAUUAUACCCUAGAAUUCUUGGUCACUGCGGGAGUGCAGGAAAUCUUUGUCUUCUGUUGUCACCUAGCAGAUCAAAUUAGGACUCACAUAAGGCAAUCAAAAUGGAGCGAGUGUUCCAGUUGUACCAUUACCCCGGUCCUAUCUGAGUCCUGCAUGUCAAUGGGCGACGCCCUCAGAGAAAUACACGACAAGUCAGUCAUCCGUAGUGACUUUGUCCUGGUAUUCGGAGACACUGUCGCCAACCUCAGACUCCAGGAUGUUCUACAGGAGCACAAGAAGCGAUUGCAAGAUAAGACAAAUCCUCAAAACAAAAACUCUGUGAUGACCAUGAUUUUCCAGAAAGUUCCACCAGGGCAUCGGUCUCGGAACAAGGAGGAUGACAUUUUUUUAGCGGUAGAUCAGACAUCCAAUCGGGUGCUGCAUUACCAGAGGGUCAGAGAGCAGUCCAAGCUUCAGAUCCCAGUGGAUGUCCUAGCAGACAACUUGGAUGUACAGCUGAGGUACGACCUACUUGACAGUCAGAUCAGUGUGUGUUCCCCUGAAGUCCUGGCCCUCUUCAAGGAUAACUUCGAUUAUCUCAACAGGGACCACUUUGUAAAAGGACUAUUGGACAAUGAAGACAUCAUGGAGAAGACAAUACACAUGUGUGUCCUCAAUGAUGGGUACACGGGAAGAGUUUCCAAUCUACAGAUGUAUGACACUGUCAGUCGUGACGUGAUAUGCCGCUGGUCCUAUCCUCUGGUUCCUGACACACAGACAGACAAUCAGGGUCAGAUCAUCUCUCACAACAGACACAACAUCUACACCAGUAAAGAUGUCAUGUUAGCAAAAGGUUGUGUAUUGGAGCAGAAUGUUUUAGUGGGGAGAGGAACCAGAAUCGGUAGCAACACUAGGAUAACCGACUCCGUGAUAGGAAAGGACUGUAAAAUAGGCAGUGACGUGGUGAUAGAGAAUGCGUACAUCUGGGACGGAGUGACAAUAGAAGACCAGUGCUGUGUAGACACUGCAGUGAUCUGUGAUAACGUUGUGGUGUACGCCUGUACCUCCGUCGGUCCUGGCUGUGUCCUGUCAUAUAAUGUAAAGGUUGGACCCAGUGUAAAAAUAGAAGCAAGGUCGCGUCUACAGGCAGCCAAGGACAUGGAUGAUGAUUUCGGAGACGAGUUGACGGAGGCUGAUCAAGAUGCUGUCAGCAUGAUCAACUACGGCAGUAAGUCCCAAGCCUUCCUCCACCAGCCCCCGGAGGACAGCGAUGACGAAGACAACGAUCUUGUUCAGGACAUGUUUGGUCUGGGCAUCCAAUCAGAAUCCUCCACGGAGGCGUCCAGUUUGUCGGAGCGCUCCAGUGAUGACGAGGCCAUGCUGGAUGAUGAGGAGUUGUUCUAUAGUGAGCUGUUGGAUACAUUUGUGAAAGCUAAAGAAGAUAACUACAACACAGAAAACCUCAUUCUGGAGAUCAACUCUCUAAAACAUACUUACAAUAUAGCCAUCCGAGAUUUGUAUGGUAUGGUUAUGAAAGGAUUAAUUGAAAUUCCUCUGAGAGACUCACAAGACUUGGAACCAGGUGCACAGCUAGCCAAUGUCAAAAAGAAUUUUGUGAGAUAUAAACCAUUAAUUCUAAACUACAUCAAGAGUGAAGAAUCUCAGCUAGACUGUCUCCAUGCUUUAGAGGAUUUCGCCCUGAUAACAAGACAGUCAGUACACUCCUAGUCAAGCUCCUCCACAUACUCUACGAUGCAGACAUUUUGUCCGAGGUUGUCCUCAUUAAAUGGCACAACAUGGAGAAGGAAGAAGAAUACAAAGCUAUUGCAAAACAGGUGGCGCCCCUAAUCAAGUGGCUCGAGGAGGCAGAAGAGGAGACGUCCGAUGAAGAGUUGGGUAGUGACUGAAGCAGAUUAUGUUAAAUGAUAAACACUUCAGUUGGUGGGUUAUACAUCUAGAAUGUAUUCUGUGUCGUGAUGUCAAAGUGCUAUGGACCUUCAUUAAAACCAUAUCCUUAAC
rnacentral:misc_RNA from 1 species